rnacentral:lncRNA from 1 species
UCUUUUUUUUGUUUCUUUUUGGCUUUUCUGGUGCAGCUGCAAACUUGUGGAGAAGAAGUGUCAGAAAUUGAAGUGAAACCUAAUGGUUCUUGGCGUGCAAAGGCAGAAGGUGAUCGAAGGAGUAUUGGUGAUCUCGGACGGUGGCAUUUACCUGAUGGUACUCUCAUUGAAUCUCAAGAUAUAGAGUCAAAACCCAAGCCUGGAAUUCUUAAGCACGUUAUACAGGAAGGAGGCUCUGAAAGCUGUGGACUUAAAGUUGGGUUGAAGAAGAACAGAAAUGGUUUGUGGGAAAUUAACAAACCUGAAGAUAUGCAGACAUUUCCACAAGGAGAUGGAGUAAGAGAGAACGUAGAAAAUCAUAUUCAAAAUAUCAUUCCCAUGAGCAGCAGUGCCACUGUGAGUGGCAAGGAAGGUGAAGAUCCCAGUGUUAAUCAGGAUGGUCUCGUUAACUUUGAUUUCCCUACCAAUGGGUUUGAACUUGAAACCAUUUCUCCAAAUUUUACCCCAGCAUAUGGUUGUAAUGACCGGAACCCCCCAGCACCAGCUAGAGGUGCUGAAGUUAUUGUCCUAAGUGAUUCUGACGAAGAAAAUGAGCCAUUCAUCUCUUCUGCAUCCAUUUACAAUAACAACCAUACCAAUGCACCUGUAGUCUCUUUUGCGGGUAGGCCUAAAGAAAUUUCAGCUUCUUGCCAUGACAACCGAACACUUGUUAAUGAUGGGAAUUCAUGCCUGGGGCUGUUCAAUGCAAACGAUAAUGAAUUUGUGAUGAAUAUGUGGCCUUUGCCUACUGUUAACCAGGGGGGCCCAAGCUUUCAGUUAUUUGGUUCAGCUAUGCACCAGGGUUCUAUCAACCGUGCAAGCUCUACCAAUGGCUACUCAUUGGCUGCAGACACUGGCAUUGGAUCUUGUACUCUUCUUCCUGAAUCUUCUGUUGAUCAUAUGAAUGGUUUAAAUAACAAUACCGUAUUAUGUGACGGUAUUCAGGGAUCACUUCAUAUAUUUCUUCCUCUACCAUUAAAUGUAUCAGUUGAGGCUGAUGUGCGUCAGCCAGGUGUGUCAACUGGCGUUCACACUGAGGAUUGGGUUUCACUUAGGCUUGGCGCAGGUGGGGGUUCUGCAGUUGCAAAUGGGUUGAACUCAGGGAAGCCGCUGCAAACCAAAGACUCUUCCUUGAACGCAUUGGCUGACACUGGUAUGUCCCUAUUUAUAGAUAUUGUGUUGGAGAUUAGAAAGAGAAAGCUGAGAAAUGUCAACAUUCACAUUAUAUAUGCAUUUACACUGCAUUAAUACUUCUAAUUGCAACAAAUAUUAUUUAGGGUUAAUAGACCACAAUUAUUUUUUCUGUGACUAGUCAUGUUUGGAUGCAUAAUAUGAUUAGUUGAAAACUCUAAUAUAAGGACAUACAUGCGCCUAGAGUAGCAUUACGGAACUCCCAUCCUAUUAUUACUUUUUUGAAGUAGUUCUCAAUGUGAUGAAAGAUGUUAUAAGUGAGAUAAGAUAUGUUGUCACAAGUAUUCUUCUCCUUUGUUCUUCUGUUGACGUUAUCUGAACCUAUUUUUAAUGAUGCUACUUUAUGCACAGCUUCAUUGGUUGUUGAUGUGAAUGACGAAGUAUCAAUGACGAGCAGUAGGAAAAGAUCAGAUGGUCCAUUUAAUUUUCCUCGCCAACGUCGUUCUGUUAGACGGAGAUGUCUAAAUAAUGAUUCAGACACUGAAUAGGGAGCCAAUUGCACAUAUGAGGAAUAAUGAUACUUGCUGCAAAAAUGAGGAUCCAAUCACAUGAUAUCUUGUUUGUAAGAUCGAUCUUUUUUGUCUUGGAGAUGAACAUGCAUCUACCAACAGAGAAACUACCUUCAACUCCUGUGCUGGAAGUUCUCCAGCUUUUGUAUUCUAUUGUCUGGACUCGGAAUCCCCCGCUCCCAUAUCCUGCCUGGCCAUAUUCUUCUUUUCAUUUUGUUGAUGAUGCAAGUGAAUUGUACAUUUGGAUAGCUUGAAUAGGGCAAGCUAAUAGUACAUUUUGAUAGCUUAGCUAGGUUUAAAAAAUACUAGCAACAGCAGUUGGUAAUUACUGCUGGAUGUAAAGUAGCAAAGGAAUAGGGGCCUAUAGCCUGUAAAUCUUACUACAUUGAGUAAUUUAUAGACUAUAGCAUUUUGGAAUUUGUGUUUCUCCUGUUGAGUACUCUUACAGUUAAUCAUUGAGAUGAUGGUUAAAUCUCAACCAUAAUAAAAGGCUAGCCC